rnacentral:rRNA from 1 species
GCUGGGUAUCCGAGUCUGGUUAGGAUAAGCGCUGAAAGCAUCUAAGUGCGAAGCCAUCCGCAAGAUGAGAACUCCAUUGAGGGUCGUUGUAGACGACGACGUAGAUAGGCUGCAGGUGUAAAGACGGUGACGUCAAAGCCGAGCAGUACUAAUUGCCCGAGACUUUCUUCA